UACGGAGGAUGCGAGCGUUAUCCGGAUUUAUUGGGUUUAAAGGGUGCGCAGGCGGGAGAUUAAGUCGGCGGUGAAAUUUUGCAGCUCAACUGUAAAAGUGCCUUCGAAACUGGUUUCCUUGAGUGUAGAUGAAGUAGGCGGAAUUUGUGGUGUAGCGGUGAAAUGCUUAGAUAUCACGAGGAACUCCGAUUGCGCAGGCAGCUUACUAAACUACUACUGACGCUCAGGCACGAAGGCGUGGGGAUCAAACAGGAUUAGAUACCCGUGUA
rnacentral:rRNA from 1 species